rnacentral:rRNA from 12 species
CUCACCUGCCGAAUGAACUAGCCCUGAAAAUGGAUGGCGCUUCAGCGAAAGACUUAUACCAUGCCAUUUUAUCUGUUUUUUCUUUUGUUGGGAAAAAAGGUGUGUGAUAAAAUGAGUAGGAGGGCGUGGAAGUUAUGACGCAGCCUUUGGCGUGAGCCUGGGUGAAAUGGCUUCUAGUGCAGAUCUUGGUGGAAGUAGCAAGUAUUCAAAAGAGAACUUUGAAGACUGAAGUGGAGAAAGGUUUCAUG